GAUGAACGCUGGCGGCGUGCCUAAUACAUGCAAGUCGAGCGAACGGACGAGAAGCUUGCUUCUCUGAUGUUAGCGGCGGACGGGUGAGUAACACGUGGAUAACCUACCUAUAAGACUGGGAUAACUUCGGGAAACCGGAGCUAAUACCGGAUAAUAUUUUGAACCGCAUGGUUCAAAAGUGAAAGACGGUCUUGCUGUCACUUAUAGAUGGAUCCGCGCUGCAUUAGCUAGUUGGUAAGGUAACGGCUUACCAAGGCGACGAUGCAUAGCCGACCUGAGGGGGUGAUCGGCCACACUGGAACUGAGACACGGUCCAGACUCCUACGGGAGGCAGCAGUAGGGAAUCUUCCGCAAUGGGCGAAAGCCUGACGGAGCAACGCCGCGUGAGUGAUGAAGGUCUUCGGAUCGUAAAACUCUGUUAUUAGGGAAGAACAUAUGUGUAAGUAACUGUGCACAUCUUGACGGUACCUAAUCAGAAAGCCACGGCUAACUACGUG
rnacentral:rRNA from 1 species